UUCCCAAACGAAAGGCGCUAGAACUAAACACUCAUCAUUUAAUUCAACGGGUGUCACAAUUCCAUGCGUCUUGCACCGAAAAGUCGAAAGUAGAGGUAAGUAAAGACAUGUCAACAGAAGAGGGCAAGAUUAGACUGCUUUUUGCCACAGAGGCAUACGGAAUGGGAGCUGACCCCCCUGAUGUACAUCAAGUUAUUCAUAUAGGACCUCCAAGUUCACUUGAAACUUAUCUCCAAGAAGUAGGACGAGCUGGACGGGAUGAACAGGGGUGUAGUGCAACUCUGUUUUUCAAUAUGAAUGACAUUGGGACGCCACACGUCAAAAAUGAAGUAAGAGCUUUUGUUUGCUCGACUCUUGUCGCAGGAAAUUUAUAUCUGAACAUUUCGGUUACACUUUUAACAAACUCAGUCAGAUGCAUGAAUGUUGUGAUAUUUGCGAAAAAUCCUGCCCAUGCGACAACUGUUUUGCAGAGGAAGUUAAUAAGUGCGAGAUUGUUUCUCCACCCGCCAAACAAAUUUCAAAGAAAAAAAAAUUGAAUGAACUAUCAAGGAUCUUGUUAGCUUUCUUUGAAGAUGAAAAUAAACAAUAUGACGUGCCAUUUCCAGAAAUUAUUACAGGCUUGUCAAAGCAGACGGCAGAUAAAAUUGCAUCACUUGCAACCCAAUUAACAUCCUUAACUGACAUCAGGAAGGAGUUUCCAAAUAUAGCUGAGGAU